CAUGGUCUUUUGAUUAUAAUAUAAGAUCUGACCUGCCCACUGAGAAAUUUAAAGGGCCGCGGUAUUUUGACCGUGCAAAGGUAGCAUAAUCAUUAGUUUUUUAAUUGAAAUCUGGAAUGAAUGGUUGGACGAGAAAAUAACUGUCUCAUGUUGAUUUUUUAUAAAAUUUUAUUUUUAAGUUAAAAGGCUUAAAUUUUGUUAAAAGACGAGAAGACCCUAUAGAGUUUUAUAUAUAAUUUUGAUUUUUUUUGAUAAUAAUUUAUUUUUGAUUUUAAUUUUAUAUAUUUUGUUGGGGUGAUGGGAAGAUUUAUUAAACUCUUCUUUUAUUAUUACAUUGAUUGAUGAAUUUAUGAUCCAAUAUUUUUGAUUAUAAGAUUAAAUUACCUUAGGGAUAACAGCGUAAUUUUUUUUGAGAGUUCUUAUCGAAAUAAAAGAUUGCGACCUCGAUGUUGGAUUAAAGUUUAUUUUUGGUGUAGUUGCUAAAAUAUUAAGUCUGUUCGACUUUUGAAACUUUACAUGAUCUGAGU
rnacentral:rRNA from 1 species